rnacentral:rRNA from 1 species
UACAGAGGGUGCGAGCGUUAAUCGGAAUUACUGGGCGUAAAGCGCGCGUAGACGGUUUUGUAAGUCAGAUGUGAAAUCCCUGGGCUCAACCUGGGAACUGCAUUUGAAACUGCAUGGCUAGAGUAUGGAAGAGGGAAGUGGAAUUUCCGGUGUAGCGGUGAAAUGCGUAGAGAUCUGGAGGAAUACCGAUGGCGAAGGCAGCCUUCUGGCCUAAUACUGACGCUGAGGUGCGAAAGCAUGGGGAGCAAACAGG